UACAGAGGUGGCAAGCGUUGUUCGGAAUUACUGGGCGUAAAGGGCGCGUAGGCGGCCUUCUAAGUCAGACGUGAAAUCCCCAGGCUUAACUUGGGAACUGCGUCUGAUACUGGGAGGCUUGAGUGCGGGAGAGGGAUGUGGAAUUCCUGGUGUAGCGGUGAAAUGCGCAGAUAUCAGGAAGAACACCAAUGGCGAAAGCAGCUCUCUGGGACGGUACUGACGCUGAGACGCGAAAGCGUGGGGAGCGAACAGG
rnacentral:rRNA from 1 species